rnacentral:rRNA from 1 species
GAUGAACGCUGGCGGCGUGCCUAAUACAUGCAAGUCGAGCGAACAGACGAGGAGCUUGCUCCUCUGACGUUAGCGGCGGACGGGUGAGUAACACGUGGAUAACCUACCUAUAAGACUGGGAUAACUUCGGGAAACCGGAGCUAAUACCGGAUAAUAUAUUGAACCGCAUGGUUCAAUAGUGAAAGACGGUUUUGCUGUCACUUAUAGAUGGAUCCGCGCCGCAUUAGCUAGUUGGUAAGGUAACGGCUUACCAAGGCGACGAUGCGUAGCCGACCUGAGAGGGGGAUCGGCCACACUGGAACUGAGACACGGUCCAGACUCCUACGGGAGGCAGCAGGAGGGAAUCUUCCGCAAUGGGCGAAAGCCUGACGGAGCAACGCCGCGUGAGUGAUGAAGGUCUUCGGAUCGUAAAACUCUGUUAUUAGGGAAGAACAAAUGUGUAAGUAACUAUGCACGUCUUGACGGUACCUAAUCAGAAAGCCACGGCUAACUACGU